UCCUUAACAGCUAGCCCCCCCCCCCGCUAAAACAACCCCCUAUAAAUAUUUACUCAUUAUUUCUUCCCUAACAAACCAUUUUUCCCCCCUAGUACUGGGCGAUAGAAAAGGGCCUACGGAGCUACAGAGAAAGUACCGCAAGGGAAAGCUGAAAGAGAAAUGAAACAACUACCCCAAGCCAAAUAAAGCAGAGACCACCACUCGUACCUUUUGCAUCAUGACUUAGCUAGUAUAUCUGAGCAAAGAGACCUUUAGUACAGACCCCCGAAACUAGACGAGCUACUUCAAGACAGCCUAUGUUGGGCGAACCCGUCUCUGUGGCAAAAGAGUGGAAAGAGCUUCAAGUAGAGGUGACAAACCUAUCGAGCCUAGUUAUAGCUGGUUGCCUGGGAAAUGGAUAGAAGUUCAGCCUCCCGAUAACCCUCAGUCCCGUAAAUACUAUUUAACCCAGACCACAGGAUCACUCGAGAGAGUUAGUCGAAGAGGGUACAGCCCCUUCGAAAAAGGACACAACCUCCCAGGGAGAUAAAAGAUCAUACUUCACUUAAAGGAAGCCUGUUCAAGUGGGCCUAAAAGCAGCCACCUAAAAAGAAAGCGUUAAAGCUCAGACACUCCAUACACCCCUUAAUACCGAACCAAACUCUAAACUCCCCACCCCCUACCAGGCCGUUCCAUGCAAGCAUGGAAAAGACCCUGCUAAGAUGAGUAAUAAGAGGGACAGCCCCUCUCCAAUGCACAAGUGUACCUCGGAACGGACCCCCCACCGACAGUCAACGACCCCAACCCAAGAGGGCAGUGUAAGACCACACAAAUACCUAGAAAACCCAACACGAACCGAAUCGUUAGCCCUACACAGGUGUGCAGCCCAGGAAAGACUAAAAUAAAGGGAAGGAACUCGGCAAACACAAGCCUCGCCUGUUUACCAAAAACAUCGCCUCUUGCAAAAACGAAGAAUAAGAGGUCCCGCCUGCCCUGUGACUAUAUGUUUAACGGCCGCGGUAUUUUGACCGUGCGAAGGUAGCGCAAUCACUUGUCUUUUAAAUGGAGACCUGUAUGAAAGGCACCACGAGGGCUUAACUGUCUCCCCUUUAAAGUCAAUGAAAUUGAUCUCCCCGUGCAGAAGCGGGGAUAGCCUCGUAAGACGAGAAGACCCUAUGGAGCUUAAGACACAAGGCGGCCCACGUCAAGUACCCUAAUUUAAAACAAUAAACAAAGUGUUACACCCGCCGAAAUGUCUUUGGUUGGGGCGACCGCGGGGAAAGAAAAAACCCCCACGUGGACCGGGGCUACACACCCUAAAACCGAGACCCACAGCUCAAAGCAGCAGAACUUCUGACCAUUAAAGAUCCGGCAAUGCCGAUCAACGGACCGAGUUACCCUAGGGAUAACAGCGCAAUCCCCUCCCAGAGCCCAUAUCGACGAGGGGGUUUACGACCUCGAUGUUGGAUCAGGACAUCCUAAUGGUGCAGCCGCUAUUAAGGGUUCGUUUGUUCAACGAUUAAAGUCCUACGUGAUCUGAGUUCAGACCGGAGUAAUCCAGGUCAGUUUCUAUCUACGUAAUGAUCUCUUCUAGUACGAAAGGACCGAAAAGAAGAAGCCACUGCCGACGGCACGCCUCUCCCCCAACUAAUGAAUACAAAUAAAAUAGGAAAGGGGGCAUAUCCUUCUUGCCCUAGAGAAGGGCAU
rnacentral:rRNA from 1 species